rnacentral:rRNA from 1 species
UACGAAGGGGGCUAGCGUUGUUCGGAAUCACUGGGCGUAAAGGGCGCGUAGGCGGGAUGGCAAGUCGGUCGUGAAAUCCCUCGGCUCAACCGAGGAACGUCGAUCGAUACUGCUGUUCUUGAGGAUUGCAGAGGAGACUGGAAUUCCCGGUGUAGCGGUGAAAUGUGUAGAGAUCGGGAGGAACACCGGUGGCGAAGGCGGGUCUCUGGGCAAUUCCUGACGCUGAGGCGCGAAAGCGUGGGGAGCAAACGGG